rnacentral:lncRNA from 1 species
ACCACUCACUCACCCAAACACAUCACAUGGCCGCAUGGGCGUAGUUUAGCACCACCCCACCACGCACAAUCAUCCUUCUAACUCCCACAUUCAAGCUCACUCAUCAUCCGUACCGGUAACGGAUGCUGCCGGUGGCGGCGAACCGCUGGUUGCGUCCACCUUGUUGUUCAUGUUUUGUUCUUCAUAAACUCUUCUUAAUCUCUCUAUCUCUUUCUUCAAUUGUUCUUGGUGAGCUACAAUUUUAAAUAAAUUGAUUCAUUUUUAUGAGUUAAGUUCACGUACAAAGUGUCUUAUUGUAUAAAAUGUACGAAAGGUAUGAAAAAGUCAAAAAAACGCAGUGACAUUUUUCGUAAUUAUUUACUCGUAGAGUAAUUAUCAAAAUUACUCUACAAACGAUCUUGUAUGGUAAUUUUGAUCUUGUAGAGUAAUUUUGUAAAAUAUUCUUAUCGGGUAAUUUUGUAGAGUAUCAUAAUUACUCUACAAUUGAUCUUGUAUGGUAAUUUUGAUAUUGUAAGGUAAUUUUGUAGAGUAUCAUGAUUACUCUACAAAUGAUUUUGUAGAGUAACUUUGAAUUGUAUGUUGUUUGAUAAGCUUGCAGAGUAAUUAGAUACACUUGUAGAGUAAUUUUGAUGCAGAGUAAUUUUGAUAAUUACUCUACGAGUAAAUAAUUACGAAAAUCCCACCGCGUUUUUUUACAUUUUCACCCUAUUCUACGUUUUGUAUGAUAAGGUUUUUCAUAGCAUGGGUUUACGGAUUUAUUUUUGGUUGCACGAAUCUUCUAGGAUGUACCCUACCUGAGCACACUCUCAUCUAG